UGGAAUGAAUUUUUGCGGCGUUUUUAUCCCAAAAUUUUCCGGCUAAAACCCCUAAUUUUUUCUUUCCCCUCUUCCCCUUUUCAAACUCAUUUCUUUCGCCUCAUUUUUCUUUUUCUCGGAUCUUCUUUCUUCCUCUCAGCAAAGAUCUUUGAUUCUUUCCGUCUCUUUUUCGUUCGCUCUCUGAGGCUGGAAACAGGCUCGUCAAACCCCCGUUGUCAGUCGCUGAGCUCAUCCCUUUCCUAGACGUUGAUGAAGAACCUGCAAUUAGAACAAAUACCACCAUAUUAUUGGGGAACAUUGCAAGCUACCUAAAUGAAGGGAUGGGGCAUGAGUUCCUUAACUCUUAAAGGCAAAGCUUCUGAUCAAGCUCUAGCCUUGGCAAAUAUUCAGGCAGCUCAGAAGCGUCCUGUUUCGCAACCAGUUUCACAGCCUAAACCACAAGCUAGAAUUCGAGGUACUAAUGACGUCAUUCAGUUAAAUAUGAUGAUAUCAGUGUUCGAUUAGUUUGCUAUCUUAACUGGUGUAGAUCAGAGUGAUGGCUGAUAAGAGUUAAUUAAUUGCCUUCCCUGAAUAAGGAGCCAAUGAUUAACACAUACGCCAACUUUAGAGAUGAUGUUCUUCCCCGUAUUAAAAGACUUGGGUACAAUGCUGUUCAGAUCAUGGCUAUUCAAGAGCACUCAUAUUAUGCUAGCUUCGGGUACCAUGUGACAAACUUCUUUGCACCUAGUAGCCGCUUUGGAACCCCUGAUGUCCUCAAGUCACUGAUAUAGAUAAGGCUUAUGAGUUGGGUAGUAGUCGCUUAUGGUGUACAAAUACUUGUUCAAAUGCAAGAUGGUGGCUGGAGGAGUAUAAGUUUGAUGGGUACAAAUUUGAUGGUGUGACUUCAAUGAUGUACAAGAUUUCCUUGAUUAAGUAAAUGUAUUAUAUCUUUUAUUACCAAGAUUUACUUGAUUAAGAAAAUGCAUUGUAUGUUUUAUUA